rnacentral:rRNA from 1 species
GACGAACGCUGGCGGCGUGCCUAAUACAUGCAAGUCGAACGCAGUGGGGACGGGUGAGUAACACGUGGGUAACCUCCCAUCAGAGGGGAUAACACUUGGAAACAGGUGCUAAACCGAUACUGAUGGAUGGACCCGCGGUGCAUUAGCUAGUUGGUGAGGUAACGGCUCACCAAGGCCACGAUGCAUAGCGGGUCUGAGGGGGUGAUCGGCCAAACUGUAACUGAGACACGGACCAGACUCCUACGGGAGGCAGCAGUGGGGAAUCUGCGACAAUGGGCGAAAGGCUGACCGAGCCACGCCGCGUGAGUGAAGAAGGUUUUCGGGUCGUAAAGCUCUGUUGGUAGAGAAGCGGUAUCUAAAGAGAAAGCACCGGCUAACUACGUGCCAGCCGCCGCGGUAAUAC